rnacentral:rRNA from 1 species
UACGGAGGAUGCGAGCGUUAUCCGGAUUUAUUGGGUUUAAAGGGUGCGUAGGCGGGAUUAUAAGUUAGCGGUGAAAGUUUGAGGCUCAACCUUAAAAUUGCCGUUGAAACUGUUUUUCUUGAGUAUAUUUGAAGUAGGCGGAAUUCGUGGUGUAGCGGUGAAAUGCAUAGAUAUCACGAAGAACUCCGAUUGCGAAGGCAGCUUACUAAACUAUAACUGACGCUCAUGCACGAAAGCGUGGGGAUCAAACAGG